rnacentral:misc_RNA from 1 species
UCCGGUUUGUCACCGGCAGUCUCGCAUGAGUCCCCAACUAAAUGCUGGCAACUAGUGACAAGGGUUGCGCUCGUUGCGGGACUUAACCCAACAUCUCACGACACGAGCUGACGACAGCCAUGCAGCACCUGUGUUCAGGCUCCCUUUCGGGCACACCCGCCUCUCGGCGGGCUUCCUGACAUGUCAAGGGUAGGUAAGGUUCUUCGCGUUGCAUCGAAUUAAUCCACAUCAUCCACCGCUUGUGCGGGUCCCCGUCAAUUCCUUUGAGUUUUAACCUUGCGGCCGUACUCCCCAGGCGGUCAACUUCACGCGUUAGCUUCGUUACUAAUGGGUUUAACCCCACCAACAACCAGUUGACAUCGUUUAGGGCGUGGACUAC